GUCCUAUAUAGAGAGAAACACGGAUUACAGAUGCUCUGGGCAUGGGGAAAUUGCAAGGACAGAGACUGCCAGUGCAGAACCAGAACGGCGAUGGAGUUGGUUCUACAACUUUCUGUCAGAGAUGUUCGAUGGGUUUUUCAAGAAUCGGCUUACAAUUUAGUUUCAGGUGUAUCGCCGUUUUGCUACUGAGUAUUGCCCUUUU
rnacentral:misc_RNA from 1 species